GGAAGAUUGACAGAGCGGCUUAUCGUGCUCCCCUGCUAAGGGAGUGUAGUUCUUAAAGACUACCAUUGGUUCAAAUCCAAUAUCUUCCGCCA
rnacentral:tRNA from 1 species